AGUUAAUGAACUUGCUAAGUAUAUGUUUUGAAAACAUAAUAAAGAGUUAGAUCCUCUAUUAACUU
rnacentral:tRNA from 1 species